rnacentral:rRNA from 1 species
CAGCCGCCGCGGUAAUACGUAGGUGGCAAGCGUUGUCCGGAAUUAUUGGGCGUAAAGGGCUUGCAGGCGGUUUCUUAAGUCUGAUAUGAAAGCCCCCGGCUCAACCGGGGAGGGUCAUUGGAAACUGGGAAACUUGAGUGCAGAAGAGGAGAGUGGAAUUCCACGUGUAGCGGUGAAAUGCGUAGAGAUGUGGAGGAACACCAGUGGCGAAGGCGACUCUCUGGUCUGUAACUGACGCUGAGGAGCGAAAGCGUGGGGAGCGAACAGGAUUAGAUACCCCCGUAGUCCCUGUCUCUUAUAC